CGGACCGGCGCACGGGUGAAUAACACGUAUGGAACCUGCCCUAUGCAGGGGGAUAAGCGGAAGAAAUUCCGUCUAAUACCGCAUAACACCUUUAGGAGACAUCGUUCUUGGGGUCAAAGGAGGCGACUCCGGCAUAGGGAUGGCCAUGCGUCGCAUUAGCUAGUCGGCGGGGUAACGGGCCCACCGAGGCGACGAUGCGUAGGGGGUUCUGAGAGGAAGGUCCCCCACACUGGUACUGAGACACGGACCAGACUCCUACGGGAGGCAGCAG
rnacentral:rRNA from 1 species